AUUGAACGCUGGCGGCAGGCCUAACACAUGCAAGUCGAGCGGUAGAGAGGUGCUUGCAUCUCUUGAGAGCGGCGGACGGGUGAGUAAUGCCUAGGAAUCUGCCUGGUAGUGGGGGAUAACGUUCGGAAACGGACGCUAAUACCGCAUACGUCCUACGGGAGAAAGCAGGGGACCUUCGGGCCUUGCGCUAUCAGAUGAGCCUAGGUCGGAUUAGCUAGUUGGUGGGGUAAUGGCUCACCAAGGCGACGAUCCGUAACUGGUCUGAGAGGAUGAUCAGUCACACUGGAACUGAGACACGGUCCAGACUCCUACGGGAGGCAGCAGUGGGGAAUUUUUGGACAAUGGGCGGCAAGCCUGAUCCAGCAAUGCCGCGUGCAGGAAUAAGGUCCUAUGGAUUGUAAACUGCUUUAUACAGGAAGAAACACACCUCGUGAGGUACUUGACGGUACUGUAUGAAUAAGGACCGGCUAACUACGUG
rnacentral:rRNA from 1 species